CCUGGGGACUUGUUCUUUCGUUUGAACUCAUUUCUCUGAGACUCUUGACGCAGCCACCGCAGGCCCAGGUUUGUGGGCCUUCAGUGGGUCUCAAGCUCUGAAUCACGGCCUGAUCCCUCUUCCCUAAAACAGUUUGAUUUUCCCCCAAAGACUACUUUCCACGGUUUCCCCGUGGACGGGAUCGUGGAAUCCGUACUAAUGUGCGGAUGACCGGCAGAGGAGGCGCCUGGCGGGCCGUGUUGCACGGAAGGAAGGAAGCUCAGCCAUGGAACUGGGGCACUCACUCUGGCAGAGCCGGAGGGAAAGGCUGAUGCCGUGAGACCCCGCUGCCUGAGAGUUCUUUAGCCCUUCCAGAAGGUUCUCAUAGGUCACCAACACAUGUAGGAGAUGCAAAGGUGUGGGGUGAUGGUCUCCUCCCCAUGGUCCACUGAGGGGACCCUGCCUGGGGACACCCACCCUGCCUGGGGGUGUCAGUCUCCUGGGCCAAGGACGCUCUGGCUGGGAGGACCCUGGCACCAUGACUGCUCGGAUGGCACAGGAGCCUGAUCCCUGUCCUCUCCACGGCCACUCUCCUCUACCUGACCCAGGCGGCCCGCCUGCCCUUCUCCCUCAGGUCAUUGCAGGCCCCUGCUCCGCACACUUGUGGGCACAACUGCGGAGAGCCCCCGGGGUGUCGGGCUCCUGGGGGGCAGGAGCGUCCCCCUUCUCUCCAGCGGGCUUGGCCACACCAGGGCUGUCCCUGCAGGCCCCAACACUGGCCACCAGCAGGGGUGGGCGAGCCUGGAAUGUGGCCGUACCCAUCACAGGAGGAGUGAGAGACAGGUGGAUGCCCGGGGUGUCCCCUGAAGACACACCGCCCUGAAGAGACGCCGCUCUGCAGUGACCCCGGCACACGCCCCAUUUCUGGACCCGUGGGGCAAACUUUCUCUCAAGUCCCGCUGUCUCUUUCUUCACCUGGAAUUGGAAGACUUCUUUCACUCCCUGGGGUGUUAGGAGUGCCAUGGCCCUGAAUCCAGUUGCCAAGAGACAGGCCGGCACUGCCGAGCCUGGAACCUGGGGCGGGUGGGGUGCAGCUUUGUUGGGUCAUGAGGCGCCCGGGCUCCUGGGUGGCUUCCUCUGGCUCCUCCUCUCUGCUGUGCUCUGGGUCCGCCUGUGCUGGAGCAGGGACCUCGGUCCCCUUCCCUCUGUCACCCCUCCCUCGCAGGCUGUCUUCCAUCGGAAGCGAGACGCAUCAAAGUGGACUGUCGUCUUCGUGCUUCGCAGCCUUCCUGGACACUCAAGGGCAAGCCCAGAGCUCCCCCGUGGCCUGGAGGCCCCCCUGGCCGGGCCCCUCUUUCCCCUCCAGCCCAGCCUGGCCGCUUGCCCACUCGCCUCCGUCCCCCUCCAGGACUUUGCCUGCGGACAGCUCUUCUGGAUGGAUCUUCCCCUGCUCUGCCCGGGUGACUCUCCUGCUGCUUCAAGGCUCACUCUCCCUCAGGGACCCCUGAAUCCCUGGCACACAUACUCAUAGCACUCAGUUGUCACCUUGUGAUCGUCCCCACCUCGUGAUGAUUGUUUUGAGGCCAGGUUGUAAGGCUGGAGGAGGUCUGGUCUGGUUUAUGGCUGUUCUAUUCGCCACGUGCACACCCAGCAUAGAGUAGGCGCCCUUGGCUCAUCCAGUGGCUUGGCUGUGGCUCUGGUGACGUGGCUCUGGUGACGUGGCUCUGGUGACGUGGCAUCGGUGUGUCUGUGGAGGCUGCCUUCCCUCUAGCCUGCUCAUCUUGCCAGGACAUGGACACAUCCUGCUCCCUCUGGAGCCCUGGUGCCUGCUGCAGGGACCCAGUGACUACUCUCAUGGCCAACAAGGUGAUGUUGACAGAGGUGACCAGUUACAGACGCAGCCGCCCUGCUCUGGCCUCACGUGGGCCGCACCUGUGUUCUCAAAUCUUACCUGAGACUCUGCAAAAGCCACGUGGUCCCCGAUGAGCUCAGGGGAAUGGACAGAGCAUCUCGGCUGACCUCUCUUGAGGCCUGUUUGGUCAUAAAAACGAAGACCUCCUAGAAUCCCAACAACCGAAGGGCGUUUUAGUCAAUGACGGUGGCCAGUUCCCAGGACUGGGGAUGCCUGGCGCCUAAUCCUUGUGCUGCUUCUGUAAGAUGCACCUAAUGACCCUUGUUUCCCUCCGUGCGCGAGGGGGUCCGGCGCAGAGGCAUUGAGUGUCCUGCAGGGUCACAGGGUCUGUGCUGGGACCUGGUUUACCGCUGGCCACACUCACGGCUGCACGGGGGCAUUUCUACUUGGGGUCCGGCUACUGAGGCGCUGGACUGGUGAGAACUAACGUCGCUGUUCCCUGACGGCUUCCUUCAGGCCACAGUGUGCCCUUAGCCUGUGGGUUUGACCGUCCCUGGCCCAGGGCAGAGCCGGCCUUGGCUUUUUCUUCUCUCUCCUUUAUCAGAAUCCUCAUCAACCUUGCUGUUACCGUCUCUCGCGGGGAGCCCCUCCUGAGGCAUGAGCUUGUACUCGUCUCGGGGGGACCCAGAGGCCCUCUCGCCCAGGCCUUGUCUGUCCAGGCAGAGGGACGAGGCCCAGAGAAGAGAAGAGGCAUUGCUGUCAGAGACCAGAGUCGGGACUUGAACUCAAGCCCCUGGCCCCAUGUUAGUGCCAUUUUCCUUACAUCCUGUCACCUGCCUGAUGGUCAGGUGUACGUCAGUUUGACCAGGGCAUGGUGUCCGUGGUAUAUAAUAAAAGAGUAAAGUGGG